rnacentral:rRNA from 1 species
UAGGGAAUUUUCGUCAAUGGGGGGAAGCCCUGAACGAGCAAUGCCGCGUGUGUGAAGAAGGUCUUCGGAUCGUAAAGCACUGUUGUAAGUGAAGAAUGCCAUAUAGAGGAAAUGCUAUGUGGGUGACGGUAGCUUACCAGAAAGCCACGGCUAACUACGUGCCAGCAGCCGCGGUAAUACGUAGGUGGCAAGCGUUAUCCGGAAUCAUUGGGCGUAAGGGUGCGUAGGUGGCACGAUAAGUCUGAAGUAAAAGGCAACAGCUCAACUGUUGUAUGCUUUGGAAACUGUCGAGCUAGAGUGCAGAAGAGGGCGAUGGAAUUCCAUGUGUAGCGGUAAAAUGCGUAGAUAUAUGGAGGAACACCAGUGGCGAAGGCGGUCGCCUGGUCUGUAACUGACACUGAUGCACGAAAGCGUGGGGAGCAAAUAGGAUUAGAUACC